CAAGUACUCCCUCCGUCAGGAAUUACUUGUCGCACAAAUGUAUAAAAAUGGAUGUAUCUAAAACUAANAUACAUCUAGAUACAUUCAUUCCUAUGACAAGUAUUUCGGGAAGGAGGGGGUACUAA
rfam:Hordeum vulgare subsp. vulgare, WGS project CAJW01000000 data, contig: morex_contig_61554